AAAAACAUUUCUUAUACCAUUAUUAUAAGUACAAUCUGCUCCAUGUAUAUAAAUAGCCGCAGAAUAUUAACUGUGCUAAGGUAGCAUAAUCAUUUACCUUUUAAUUAAAGGUCUGUAUGAACGAUUUUACAAUUAAACUACUUUUUUAUUAAAUUUUUCCCAAUUUAAACUAAACAUUAAAAUGUUUUUAUGAAAAAAAAAGACGAUAAGACCCUAUUGAACUUUACCUUUGUUUAGCUGGGGAAGCUAAUUAAAUAUAAUUUUAAUUAAAAUGUUAACAAUAAUUUCUAAUAAAAUUAUUUAAACAAGUUACCAUAGGGAUAACAGCGUAAUGUAAUUUUAAAGCUCAUAUUAAAAAUAAAGCUAACGGCCUCG
rnacentral:rRNA from 1 species